CCGAGCUUGGCCCAAGUCUAGUGGGGAGGGGGGCAGACAAGUUAGCAUUUGCAUCAGCAGAUAAGGGAGCAUGAAUUAAGAAAAAACUAGACUAAGGUUUUAAUCAUCUAAAAUUUUGACUCCAUCAAAAAUUCCUUACAUGAAGACCAAGAAGAAAGCCUGAGAGAGUUGUGCUUGCAAUUAAGCUGAUGAGCCUGAUAGUCACUUCUUCAAAAAUCUUUGGUCUUAAAGGUAUUUACACUGCCUGCCUGCGAAUCAUGUCAGUAACUCUGGGGGUGUGGAAUAGGCCUCGGUGCCCAGGGAUGUUGACGGUCCCAGCCAUUCUGUUCUCCUGCGGUUCCCAGGGAACCUGGCAUAGUCACAAGGGAAGAGGCUCAGCCCAGGUGUCGUCAAGAUCCGCGGACUCAAGGACCGUUGGGGAGAACCACAGGGCUAUCUUCUCAGGGUCUCCCACUGAGAGUCCCUGAGGAUUGGGACUGGUCAAACAGCACAGCCAUCCCUACCCUACACCACGAUUUUUCAUCUUCUUUCCUUAAGAGGGAAGACCUAACAUAGAGAGAUGAUGCUCAAGGUCCCUGGACCCACCAUUUCUUACUUUGUGUCACCUCCUUGUUCUGCACUGCACUGCUCUGAUCCUGUCUGACUCGCUGCCUCCCCAGUGGUGACAGGCUCCCCCAGGACCCCAUGCAGGGGUCUGGCAGACACAGAGAGGCUGCUGAGCUUUGGGCAGGGAGGACACAUGGGCAAAGGGAUUCCACGUCUGUUUUCUGCACCACCUCUCCGCAGAGAGCUCUCCCUGUGCCUCAUCAGAUCACUGCUCCAAAUCCCCCCAAAGUGCUCUCCUUGACCCUCCUCCAAGGGAACACCAUGCUCACCUGAUACUACCUGGGAGAAAAGUACAAGAACAAGGAAAAUGGAGAGAAAGUUCCCGGUGGACUGGCACCUCUGAGGGCUCCUGGAGAGCAGAGUCAGGACACGUGUCUCCAGGGGGACCCCCGGGAGUGCCUGCUGCACCUGGAGCUGGCGGAGGAGGAGAGACCACUGCAGGCGCCUGUUCACCUGGCUGUGACACAGAGUCCUCAUGCUACAGUCAGGCUGGGCUCUUAGAACGUGACUGUCCCUGUGGACACACUCGGGUUGACUCCGGCAGGGCACAGGACGAGAAGGCUUUCUGAGUGGCUGAAGACAGAGGCCGGCUCAGCAGGCCCCAGGGAUGCUGCGCAAACUGACAGCAGAAGAGGGAGUGUGCACUAGAGCUGGCUGCUGCACACAGGGUCCCAGCAGGGAAGGGACGUGGCCCUACCAGGCCACAGGGGCACCCACCUCUGGGAGAGGACAUGGCCCAUCCCCAGUCUCAUGGCUCAGUGGUUUGAUGGCCUCCCUGCUCUCUCUCCCACCAGGCAAUUUAACUUUAAAGGAACAGAGGGGAGCAGGGGCCGGCUCUCCCAAUCAUGCCUCCGUGUUCCGGAAUCUUCCUCAUAAGCUUACACGUCCACCUAUUGUUGCUCCUGCGUUGCUUGAGGUGGAGUAGGUCUCCUUCCCAGAGUCAGCUCGCACCUGUGGAACCCACUUUUGCAGUGGGCCCCACAACCCAUGUCCCUCUUGUCUCUUCCCCAGGGGCUCCUUCACGUGGCCCAUGACGGUUCAGCUGUUUGUUUAAAACUAACCUGUCCUUGACCCAUUUCUUCUCCUAAAACCACUGCCUCAUUCUUUCCUUUGAUUCACCAUCAAGUUCCUUGAUAGUGGUCUCUACUCUGUGCGGUGGUCUCUUCUGAUCACCUGUUUUCCAAACCUGCCCCUUAAUGUGUUGCUUCCUGGCAUCUGUCUCAAUGAACCCAUUCAAAGCUCUCCUCCAAAUUCAACAGUGACAUUGCACCUCCAAUCCAGGGGAUCAUCUGACUCUGCCUUUUUGCAGCAUGUGACUUGUGAGGACACUCAUUCUCAAAACCUGUUCCUCUUCAGCUCAUCAUCUAGGAAACACUGUGGACACUGGCUGUCAGGCGUGUGGACCUGGCACUGACACAGAGCCUGGGAGGUGGAUUAUAUAGACCUCUGAUGACUUCCAUCUUCAUCUCUAAUCAGGACCACUCCAGAUUUUCCUGGCUGAUCUUUCAUCCUCUCCAAGAUCACUACCUUAAUAACAUCCAGUGCCUCACCAUCACCUCAGCUUAGAGUUACAGAGCCCAGGCCAAGUGUCAAACUCCACUGAGGACGGUCACCCGCCAACCUGCCCUACCCAGGAGUCAUGCAGAGCAUGCUUUGCCUCACAGCUGGAGCCUUUGCCAAACUCCUUCAUGAACGUGGUCUGGACCUGUGGACACCUCUCACUGCCUCUCUAGAAGGUGUAGGGGUACUUUCAUUUGUUUCCUUAUGUUAACGAGAAAGUAAAUGUUUCCAAACUUGGAUACUUGGGACAAGUAUUGUCAAGAAGAAAGCAUUCUAGAAGAGUAAGGAAUGGAGAGGGAACCUCAGCAGGCAAUGCAGGUUCAACCAAGGGUCAACAACAGAGCGACCUGAGCAGAUUUAUGUUUUGGAAAGAAGCUCACAGCAAACACAAGAGGGAGGAAGGUUAGAGGGUUCUGAGACCACGACUAAGGAGCCCAAGGGCUGAACAGAAGGCUGCCACAUUUCUAAGGGGAUGAACAGAGGGGCACGAGAGCCAGGCCUCUACAGGAUGGGAUGGCACGUUGACGUGGUGGUCAGGGCGUCAAGGGGGAGGGUUCUGUUCUGGGGACAGCGUGGACAGUGGUACCCUUUAUCAUGGAGGCGUGAUCUGGAGAGAGAGCCUGGCUGCAGUCACCCUACCUUCUAACAGGCUCCAACUCGUUCAGGAAUCUGAAGCCUUAGCCUGAUGUGGUGCCCCAGGCCUUUCCCACAGUCUUCAGAAUCUCACCUGGCCAGCGGGGGCUGACUCGCCAGAUCCUGAGGGUGAAGUCAGGAGGGAGAUAUAAUCCAUAUAAGGCCACUCCAAGGACAUUCUCCUGCUGUCCAGGCAGCAAUCGCAUCAUUCCAAAUGGAAAGGAGUGGCCACAUGUGUCUGUUUAUUCAUUGACUGCAUUUCACUCCUGGCCCCAGUGAAGACCCACCACCCAGCACCUGUGGC